UCCGUUUUGUGAAGAAAAACAAAACCCUACUUGCCUGAAUUCAUUUUGAUAAUUAGAGGUAGACCUCCAUUAAGGCUAAUAAAGGU
rnacentral:sRNA from 1 species